UCUGUGAAAACUGCAUAUCAUUCUUCAACGGAUUUCAGACCGGACAUAGUCGGAAUGCUCCGCAAUAGAUUCUAAUCUCGUAUUUCUGGCGAUCGUUAUUGUCCAAAAGUGAAUUUUGCACAUGAUUGCGAGAUGUCGAUGGAAAUCACCUCCUCACGUUCCAGCUCUUUUCUGAUCAAAAUACAUAAAAAAUAUUAAUGCAUUAGGUGCUUAUCGAACUACAUUGAAAUGUGCUGUGACAGACUCGACCCUAUGUCUUCGCAUAUUUUAUGCGUUAUUUCUUCUCCGAGAUAAAAGUACAACGGAAACAUCGCUAGAAAAAGAAGGAUUGGCUCAGAACGGCGUAUACUUCGCAAGCGUUCUCGCAAAGCCGAACGGUGUUAGUGUGUCCUGUGUUAGUUUCCGCGACGUACCGGUUAUCGAGUAGAUCGUUCUCGAAGAGGAGAAAAAUAGACGGCGUUUUAAACAAACACGAACCGAUCGCGUUGCCGCCCAGCGUGGAAAUAAGAGCGACGCGGUGGGCAGCUGCGCGCGGGGGAUAAUCCGAAGAUGCAACAGGACUCCGAGGAAGGUGUAUCCCCAACUCUUCCUCUCAAGGGGGCCACAGCUCACAAUCUAAUUCCGAAAACGCCUCGUCGGCCCGAAAAGCGAGAACGGCGAACGAGAAUGUCGAAAGAACCGAUCCUGAAGACGUGCAACACGCUCACAGUCUUAGUUGCUGGCUUAAGUCGCGUUUUAUCCUCUCCGGUUACAAAGUCAGGAACAACGACUAUUGCUCCUCCCCGACCCUGCUCCUGCCCUGCACCAUCACGGACGAUCUACCUUCUCCGGUGGUGGCGACUCGUUAAUUUGUUUGCCGCCACGUUUAUUACAUCUGCUACGCUACGCCAGGCACAUCUGCGAUAUGGCCGCACAACGAUCGAAAGCGUAUUGUUUCCUGCCUCCCGGACGUCGCCGUCCACAUGUCUCGGAUUAAGGAAUGCUAAUCGAGAACCAUUCGUGCUCUGAAAAACAAGAUGGUGAUGUAAGAAAUUGAAAGAAGCCGUCGUUCGUACGGGAGUUCCGACGAGAAGGGAUGGAAAGAAGUGCGUGUGGUCGUGGUGGACAGCCGUUCUCAUACGAUAAUCUAGCGGAUAUGAACGAUUACGGAGAACGGCGAUAAAAUGCUUCAUUAAAUCACCUUGCUAUUAAACUCAUACUAAUUGGAAGAAAAGACAUA